AUUGAACGCUGGCGGCAGGCCUAACACAUGCAAGUCGAGCGGAUGAAGGGAGCUUGCUCCUGGAUUCAGCGGCGGACGGGUGAGUAAUGCCUAGGAAUCUGCCUGGUAGUGGGGGAUAACGUCCGGAAACGGGCGCUAAUACCGCAUACGUCCUGAGGGAGAAAGUGGGGGAUCUUCGGACCUCACGCUAUCAGAUGUGCCUAGGUCGGAUUAGCUAGUUGGUGGGGUAAAGGCCUACCAAGGCGACGAUCCGUAACUGGUCUGAGAGGAUGAUCAGUCACACUGGAACUGAGACACGGUCCAGACUCCUACGGGAGGCAGCAGUGGGGAAUAUUGGACAAUGGGCGAAAGCCUGAUCCAGCCAUGCCGCGUGUGUGAAGAAGGUCUUCGGAUUGUAAAGCACUUUAAGUUGGGAGGAAGGGCAGUAAGUUAAUACCUUGCUGCUUUGACGUUACCAACAGAAUAAGCACCGGCUAACUUCGUG
rnacentral:rRNA from 1 species